rnacentral:rRNA from 1 species
UACGGAGGGAGCUAGCGUUGUUCGGAAAUACUGGGCGUAAAGCGCACGUAGGCGGCGCAGCAAGUCAGGGGUGAAAUCCCGGGGCUCAACCCCGGAACUGCCCUUGAAACUGCAGUGCUAGAAUUCUGGAGAGGCGAGUGGAAUUCCGAGUGUAGAGGUGAAAUUCGUAGAUAUUCGGAAGAACACCAGUGGCGAAGGCGACUUACUGGACACAUAUUGACGCUGAGGUGCGAAAGCGUGGGGAGCAAACAGG